rfam:Salmo salar isolate Sally breed double haploid chromosome ssa03, whole genome shotgun sequence.
AAUGCACAAACUGUAAGUCGCUCUGGAUAAGAGCAUCUGCUAAAUGACUAAAA